rnacentral:rRNA from 1 species
UACAGAGACUGCAAGCGUUAUUCGGAUUCACUGGGCGUAAAGGGUGCGCAGGCGGCCGUGUGUGUUGGGCGUGAAAGCCCGGGGCUUAACCCCGGAAUUGCGCCCAAAACUACAUGGCUAGAGCAUUGGAGAGGGUAGCAGAAUUCAUGGUGUAGCAGUGAAAUGCGUAGAUAUCAUGAGGAAUACCAGAGGCGAAGGCGGCUACCUGGACAAUUGCUGACGCUCAGGCACGAAAGCGUGGGGAGCAAAA